CUGAAUUGUCAACAAGGGUUGUUGCUGGCCUCCAUACGGGGGCACGUGCACGCUCUGUUUACAUAUCCACUCACACCUGUGCACCCUCUGUAGUUCUAUGGCCUGGGGGGCUUUGUCCCCCUGCUGUGGUUCUAUGUCUUUACAUACACACCAAAAUGAAGUCCCAUGGAAUGUAUGCUGCGUUUAACGCAAUGAAAUA
rnacentral:misc_RNA from 1 species